rnacentral:rRNA from 1 species
GAUGAACGCUGGCGGCGUGCCUAAUACAUGCAAGUCGAGCGAACAGACGAGGAGCUUGCUCCUCUGACGUUAGCGGCGGACGGGUGAGUAACACGUGGAUAACCUACCUAUAAGACUUGGAUAACUUCGGGAAACCGGAGCUAAUACCGGAUAAUAUAUUGAACCGCAUGGUUCAAUAGUGAAAGACGGUUUUGCUGUCCCUUAUAGAUGGAUCCGCGCCGCAUUAGCGAGUUGGUAAGGUAACGGCUUACCAAGGCAACGAUGCGUAGCCGACCUGAGAGGGUGAUCGGCCACACUGGAACUGAGACGCGGUCCAGACUCCUACGGGAGGCAGCAGUAGGGAAUGGUCCGCAAUGGGCGAAAGCCUGACGGAGCAACGCCGCGUGAGUGAUGAAGGUCUUCGGAUCGGAAAACUCUGUUAUUAGGGAAGAACAAAUGUGUAAGUAACUAUGCACGUCUUGACGGUACCUAAUCAGAAAGCCACGGCUAACUACGUG